rnacentral:rRNA from 1 species
UACGGCGGGAGCAAGCGUUGUUCGGAUUUACUGGGCGUAAAGGGCGCGUAGGCGGUCAGCACAAGUCAGUUGUGAAAUCUCCGGGCUUAACUCGGAAAGGUCAACUGAUACUGUGCGACUAGAGUGCGGAAGGGGCAACUGGAAUUCUCGGUGUAGCGGUGAAAUGCGUAGAUAUCGAGAGGAACACCUGCGGCGAAGGCGGGUUGCUGGGCCGACACUGACGCUGAUGCGCGAAAGCCAGGGGAGCGAACGGG